rnacentral:rRNA from 1 species
UACGAAGGGGGCUAGCGUUGUUCGGAAUUACUGGGCGUAAAGCGCACGUAGGCGGAUAUUUAAGUCAGGGGUGAAAUCCCGGGGCUCAACCCCGGAACUGCCUUUGAUACUGGGUAUCUAGAGUCCAGAAGAGGUGAGUGGAAUUCCGAGUGUAGAGGUGAAAUUCGUAGAUAUUCGGAGAAGACCCAGUGGCGAAGGCGGCUCACUGGUCUGGUACUGACGCUGAGGUGCGAAAGCGUGGGGAGCAAACAGGG